GUUGAGGCUCAGCUUCAGUAGAUAAGAAAGAGAGAGAAGGAGAGGCUGCAAAGUAGCAAUGGCAUCAACGGCAGCACUGUCUUGGAGUUCGUCUUCUUGGUUGCAGAAUGUAGGCGGUAUUAGAAGUAACGAAAGUGGUAAUAUCUCGGACAGAGGGACUGCAAUGGUGGUGGUAGCUCAAAAGGCAGCCAAGAAGAUUAGAAAAAUAAUUCUGAAGGAGGACGUAACAGAUUUGGGAAAGAAAGGGCAACUUCUAGACGUCAAGGCUGGAUAUCUCCGAAAUUACCUGCUCCCCAUGGGGAAAGCCCAAGUCGUCACUCCCCUUCUGCUCAAGGAAAUGAGGAUGGAAGAGGAGAGAAUUGAGGCAGAGAAAAAACGGGUAAAAGAAGAGGCACAGCAGCUUGCUCUAAUUUUUGAAACAGUUGGAGCUUUCAAGGUGAAGCGAAAGGGUGGAAAAGGAAAACAGAUUUUUGGAACAGUUACUGCUCAAGAUCUUGUGGACAUAAUCAAGGCACAACUUCAAAGGGAAGUAGACAAGCGGAUUGUUUCUCUUCCAGAAAUACGUGAAACUGGGGAAUACAUUGCAGAGUUGAAGCUUCAUCCUGAAGUUACUGCUCGAGUGAGGUUGAAUAUUUUUGCCAACUAGUGACUUAAGUAUUGUCUGCACUCCCACUUUGGAUGCAAAAAAUUGUGAGGUGAAGGAGGAAUGCUCUUGAAGCCAUAGUGAGGUUCAGAUGAUGCCCCCUUGCAGAAUGAUGUGGAAUUUUGGUGCUGGGAUGUAAAUUAGUCGUGGCUGUAGCAUUUUUAUUGUUGCUUCCUAUUGAUCUCCCCUCUCCUAGAAUUAAGGAAUUACCAUUUCCUCGUCUGCGAACUUUAUGGAAAUUUCUUUAUCUUU